UUCUGGCUGGAAGAAUUAUAGCCAUAUCUUUGGUGCAUGGCGGACCAUCCCCCAACUUUUUUUCUCGGACAUUAUAUGACAGUCUAGCCUAUGACCCUCAGCAGGUCACACCUUCUGUGAAAGACAUCUGUGAUUGUGAUAUUGCAGAGAUAAUUUUGGAGAUGGAGAAUGUGUCAACACUAGAGGGGCUUAAAGAUGUUGCAGCCAAGCACUGCAACCUUCUGCAUGUGGCAGGAUGUUACCGCUAUUUACAAAAUCUGCAAGACAGAGAUGUACUUGUACAAGACUUCAUGAAGUGAUAUGUUUGUGGCCGAACAAGAAAUUCCCUGGAAAGGUUAAAAGAGGGAUUGAAGACGCUUGGUGUGCUUGACGCCAUUGUUGCACAUCCUGUUCUUUUUGCCAAUUCAUUUUGCUGGAGGGAGGAAGUGCUCACAUCUGAACAGUUUUCAGAAUUGUUCAAAAUAUCAUUCAGCACUGCUGGAAGUAAUAAAAGACGUGAGGAACAAAGAAUUGUGGGCUAUUGGAGAGAUUACCUACAGGAUGUGGAAGAUGCGGAGUCCAGCAUGUCAUUAAGACAGAUUCUAGCAUUCAUCACAGGAGCAGACAAAGAGCCACCUCUUGGUUUUCAACCACAACCGUCUGUUGAGUUCCUGCAUGAGAAUAAUGAAGGAUAUAUCUCCAACUUUCCACAAGCUAACACAUGCUGCAAUAUUUUAAAGCUACCAAUUUUGAAGUCCUUUGAUGAAUUUAAGAAGCAGAUGGAUUUUGAUAUUCUCAACUCUCCAGGCUUUGGUCACCCCUGAGGCAGUCCUUCAUACUCUUACCAACUCCAUGUUCAGUUGGACAGUUUGGGACAGUUCAGGCUUUUUAACUCGCAUCUCAAUGCAUUUAGGUAUGUUUUACAUCUCGGGUACCUCAUUACUUGUUUAAGAGAAGUAGUACUGCACUUAACAGAAUGCAAUGAAGUGUGAGUUAAAAAGCCUGAACUGUCCCACUGAACAUGGAGUCAUAUGGUCACCUUAAGUAUAAAACAGUUCAGUGCAAAUAUUUGGGACAACCACACUAUUGUACAAUUCUUUUUGUUUUGGUUAAUUUAACAAGAUGUGGUUGUAAACCAGUUUUUGAACACAUGGUUGUUUAGUCUAAAUGCAAGUUAAUAAGCAUCUUCAUUGAUUUUAUAAGGCACCUGCAGCCAGAAAGCAGUUGCAUAUUUAUAGAAAGGGUUGCCAUUGUUCUCAUGUCCUCAGUGAGCCACCAUAGAAAUGUUUGUGUAGUAGCAGCUAUUUGUUUGCAAAAUGUAAUUGUGUCAACAAUGUAAUUCACACAUUUUUAGUUAAUGAAAGAUACGUUUUCAUAAUUAUAGAUGUGGGUAUGCAAACUUUUCUUAACAAAAAGGAAUGUAAUGUGACUGUUUGCCAAAUUUGCUUAUAGACAAAUGGUCUCAAAAGACAAAUUCAUUUUAUUACAAUUUCUUCAUAGAUAGUCAAUAUCAAUCAUAUUAUUUACCUUUUCUGCAAAUGGAUUUCAAAUGUUUGCCCGCGAUUGCAGUUUAACAAAAACAGGAAGUGCACAGAAAUGUAUUGUUUUAUUUUAAAAUAAUUGUUUCACACUGAAUUUAGUUACCUAAACAAUUUGCUCAUACUCCAGAAGUUUACAUGUGUAUACAUGGUGUCCUGCUAUAAUAAUUUGGCCAUCCCGAUAAAUUGUUAGUUAAUGUUAGUUUGGUUCUGAAAUUGACUAAUAAAAACAAAAGCGAUAUACUUUAUUGUAGCGCUUGGUUGAGCCACCUUUUGCAGUGCAAAGAGCCUCUAACCUGCAUUGAAUCUACUAGGUGUUGCGUCAUUCUUUGGUCCAGGUUUCUCCAGAUCGGUGCGAGUCUCCUUUAGUUCCAACAUAUUGGUGUGUGGGAUGUGGAUUGGUUUAUCUCCACUGACGAGCCAGGCACUUACAAAGGUGCUCAAUUGGAUUUGUGUCUGGGCUGUGGGGCACCCAUGGAUGAAGUUCAAUGCCUUCAUUCCUUUUCAGACUGUGGCCACACAAGACACACUACUAGAUGUUUAUUGAAGGAUAUCUCAAUUCUGCAGGGUGCAUUAACAUUUGAAAGAAAAAUCUACUGCUGUGCCAAGAUUUGAUGCCCAUACUCUUCAGAAGGAUAGCUCUACAUACCACUCCUUACAUGUGACCAGUCCGGAAGAGAAAUCAAAUCAAAGCAUUCCACUUUUUUCCCCUCGGUGCUCCAAAGCCCAGACAUCAGUCCGAUUGAGCACCUGUGGCAGUAUCUGGAUUGUGAGCAGCGAGCUACCAAUCCCAAGCCCCCCCCCC